rnacentral:rRNA from 1 species
UACAGAGGGGGCAAGCGUUGUUCGGAAUUACUGGGCGUAAAGGGCGCGUAGGCGGCCUUCUAAGUCGAACGUGAAAUCCCUGGGCUCAACCCAGGAACUGCGUCCGAUACUGGAAGGCUUGAAUCCGGGAGAGGGAUGCGGAAUUCCAGGUGUAGCGGUGAAAUGCGUAGAUAUCUGGAGGAACACCGGUGGCGAAGGCGGCUCUCUGGACCAAUAUUGACGCUGAGAAACGAAAGUGCGGGGAUCAAACAGG